rnacentral:rRNA from 1 species
GACAGAGGGGGCAAGCGUUGUUCGGAAUUACUGGGCGUAAAGGGCGCGUAGGCGGCCGCCUAAGUCAGACGUGAAAUCCCUCGGCUCAACCGGGGAACUGCGUCUGAUACUGGGCGGCUUGAAUCCGGGAGAGGGAUGCGGAAUUCCAGGUGUAGCGGUGAAAUGCGUAGAUAUCUGGAGGAACACCGGUGGCGAAGGCGGCAUCCUGGACCGGCAUUGACGCUGAGGCGCGAAAGCCAGGGGAGCAAACGGG